rnacentral:rRNA from 1 species
UACGUAGGGUGCAAGCGUUGUCCGGAAUUAUUGGGCGUAAAGGGCGCGUAGGCGGCCUGCUAAGUCGAACGUGAAAUCCCUGGGCUCAACCCAGGAACUGCGUCCGAUGCUGGUUGGCUUGAAUCCGGGAGAGGGAUGUGGAAUUCCAGGUGUAGCGGUGAAAUGCGUAGAUAUCCGGAGGAACACCAGUGGCGAAAGCGGCCACCUGGACUGCACCUGACGCUGACACGCGAAAGCUAGGGGAGCGAACGGG